ensembl:snRNA U6 U6 spliceosomal RNA
GUGCUUGCUUUGGCAGCACAUAUCUUAAAAUUGGAAUGAUACAGAGAAGAUCAGCAUGGCCCCUGUGCAAGGAUGCAUGCAAAUUCGUGAAAUAUUUCAUAUAUAU